rnacentral:misc_RNA from 1 species
UCCUACUCUCAGCUUGUAGGAGGACGUUCGUCAUCAAGCUCUGGUAAGGGAAAAGGCCAUGAGGGCUCAAUCAAGUACGGUUUCAGCCUAAUAAAAGGGAAAGCUAAUCAUCCCAUGGAGGAUUAUCACGUUGCUAAGUUUGUGCAGAUUCAAGGACAUGAAUUAGGGCUUUUUGCUAUCUAUGAUGGCCAUAUGGGAGAAGGCGAGAUGGUGUGCCUGCAUAUCUACAGAAGCAUUUGUUUUCCAAUAUCCUAAAGGAGGAAGAGUUCUG